UUUCCAAUAGACCACGAAAUUGAAAGAACAUUUAGAAAUCGUAGAAGAGUUCAACGUCAAGCAAGGAGAAUGGCUGACAACCAAAAUCAACCACAGCAUCAGGUUCAGCUUCACGAGCAAAUACCACAGCCAAAUCAACUGAGAGCUAACCAGAACGAAGCUCAUGUCUUAGUUGGGGAUUACAUCAAUCCAAUUCCCGCACCAGUGCAAC
rnacentral:lncRNA from 1 species